AUGAAGACAUCAUGUCGGAACUGUCGUGGGAUAGGCGACCCCGCGACAGUUCAUGAGCUCCGCGCUCUCGUGGAGGAUAGUGCACCGUCGGUUCUUUGUAUUGUGGAAACUCAAAUUGCAAAAAACCAAGUGGAAGGUUUGGCGGUGUCGUUAGGUUUUCAAAGUAGUUUUGUAGUAGCUAGUAGUGGGCGGAGUGGAGGUUUAUGUAUUUUUUGGAAGAGUGAUGUUAACUUAUCAAUAAAGAACUUUUCACAGUAUCAUAUCAAUGCUUGGGUUUCGACCGCAGGUAUGGAUCAAUGGCGCCUUACUUGUUUCUACGGGGAGGCAAAUAGAAGCUUGCGGUAUAACACUUGGGAAACUAUGAGGAGGCUGAGAGGGGAGAGUACGUUACCCUGGCUUUGCAUUGGCGAUUUCAACGAGAUCUUAUGCCAGGAGGAACAAAUGGGGCCAAAUCCGCUAGAUAGUGCACAAAUGGCGGGCUUUAGAGAGGCAGUUGAUGUCUGUGGCCUGUCGGACCUAGGCUAUAAGGGUCUCGACUAG
rnacentral:rRNA from 1 species